rnacentral:rRNA from 1 species
AGAGUUUGAUCAUGGCUCAGGACGAACGCUGGCGGCGUGCCUAAUACAUGCAAGUCGAACGAAGCUUUCUUUCACCGAAUGCUUGCAUUCACCGAAAGAAGCUUAGUGGCGAACGGGUGAGUAACACGUAGGCAACCUGCCCAAAAGAGGGGGAUAACACUUGGAAACAGGUGCUAAUACCGCAUAACCAUGAACACCGCAUGAUGUUCGUGUAAAAGACGGCUUUUGCUGUCACUUUUGGAUGGGCCUGCGGCGUAUUAACUUGUUGGUGGGGUAACGGCCUACCAAGGUGAUGAUACGUAGCCGAACUGAGAGGUUGAUCGGCCACAUUGGGACUGAGACACGGCCCAAACUCCUACGGGAGGCAGCAGUAGGGAAUCUUCCACAAUGGACGAAAGUCUGAUGGAGCAACGCCGCGUGAAUGAAGAAGGCCUUCGGGUCGUAAAAUUCUGUUGUCAGAGAAGAAUGUGCGUGAGAGUAACUGUUCACGUAUUGACGGUAUCUGACCAGAAAGCCACGGCUAACUACGUGCCAGCAGCCGCGGUAAUACGUAGGUGGCAAGCGUUGUCCGGAUUUAUUGGGCGUAAAGGGAACGCAGGCGGUCUUUUAAGUCUGAUGUGAAAGCCUUCGGCUUAACCGAAGUAGUGCAUUGGAAACUGGAAGACUUGAGUGCAGAAGAGGAGAGUGGGACUCCAUGUGUAGCGGUGAAAUGCGUAGAUAUAUGGAAGAACACCAGUGGCGAAAGCGGCUCUCUGGUCUGUAACUGACGCUGAGGUUCGAAAGCGUGGGUAGCAAACAGGAUUAGAUACCCUGUAGUCCACGCCGUAAACGAUGAGUGCUAAGUGUUGGAGGGUUUCCGCCCUUCAGUGCUGCAGCUAACGCAUUAAGCACUCCGCCUGGGGAGUACGGUCGCAAGACUGAAACUCAAAGGAAUUGACGGGGGCCCGCACAAGCGGUGGAGCAUGUGGUUUAAUUCGAAGCAACGCGAAGAACCUUACCAGGUCUUGACAUCUUCUGACAAUUCCAGAGAUGGAACGUUCCCUUCGGGGACAGAAUGACAGGUGGUGCAUGGUUGUCGUCAGCUCGUGUCGUGAGAUGUUGGGUUAAGUCCCGCAACGAGCGCAACCCUUAUUGUCAGUUGCCAUCAUUAAGUUGGGCACUCUGGCGAGACUGCCGGUGACAAACCGGAGGAAGGUGGGGAUGACGUCAAAUCAUCAUGCCCCUUAUGACCUGGGCUACACACGUGCUACAAUGGACGGUACAACGAGUCGCUAACUCGCGAGGGCAAGCUAAUCUCUUAAAGCCGUUCUCAGUUCGGAUUGCAGGCUGCAACUCGCCCGCAUGAAGUCGGAAUCGCUAGUAAUCGCGAAUCAGCAUGUCGCGGUGAAUACGUUCCCGGGCCUUGUACACACCGCCCGUCACACCAUGAGAGUUUGUAACACCCAAAGUCGGUGGGGUAACCUUUUGGAGCCAGCCGCCUAAGGUGGGACAGAUGAUUGGGGUGAAGUCGUAACAAGGUA